UCCUUAAACAUCUUUUUAGGGAGAACAAAUGUUAGUCAAUAUGCGCUAUUCUCAUGGGACCUUAUCCAGAAAAAACCCCGCUUGAUAGUGCAGCCAGCCCGCGGGAGUUACGUAGGGGGCAGACAUGUUCUCGCAUCAUUGGCGGGAAAGAACGGCGGAGGCAGGUUUUUAAUAUGUUGUGAAAGGAAACCCCGCCUGCAUCCCUCGAGGGUCAUUUCCAAAACAAGGAAAGAUGAUGUGCAUGAUGAGGAAAGGAGGAAGUUUCCUCGCGUGGCGGUGUGAAUGACGCAGCAGAUAUGGAGGGAGCACCACUCAGUGAAGGCAGGCUCUUCUGUUGUGUUACUGACGCUGAUGUGCGACAAGCAUCGGGGAUCAAACAACAGUAGAUUAUCCUCGCUAGUCCCACGCUCUAAACGAUGAGUGAUAAAGAUGUUAGGGGGUUUCCUUCCCCCCCAUGUGCUGCAGCGCAUCGCAUUAAUCACUCAUCCUCGGGAGUACGACCGCAAGGUAGAAACUCACAAGAAUAGACGGGGGGCCGCACAAGCGGUGGAGCAUGUGGUUUUAUUUAGAAGCAACGCGAAGAACCAUACCAAAUCUUGACAUCCUCUGAAAACUCUAGAGAUAGAGCGUUCCCCCUCGGGGGACAAAAUGACAGGUGGUGCAUGGUUGUUGUCAGCUCGUGUCGUGAGAUGUUGGGUUAAGUCCCGCAACGAGCGCAACCCUUAAGAUUAGUUGCCAUCAUUAAGUUGGGCACUCUAGGUUGACUGCCGGUGACAAACCGGAGGAAGGUGGGGAUGACGUCAAAUCAUCAUGCCCCUUAUGAUUUGGGGUACACACGUGCUACAAUGGGCAAUACAAAGGGCAGCUAAACCGCGAGGUCAUGCAAAUCCCAUAAAGUUGUUUUCAGUUUGGAUUGUAGUGUGCAAAUUGACUACAUGAAGCUGGAAUCGCUAGUAAUGGUAGAUCAGCAUGCUACGGUGAAUACGUUUCCGGGUCCUGUACACACCCCCCAUCGCACCCCGAGAGUUUGUAACACCCGAAGCCGGUGGAGUAACCAUUUAUGGAGCCAGCCGUCCGAAGG
rnacentral:rRNA from 1 species